rnacentral:piRNA from 1 species
AAGAAUGUGGAGGCUUGGACAAAAUUGAA